rnacentral:lncRNA from 1 species
UUCUAGCGAUCGCAGUGAGGUUUUCUGCUUUUUGCUAAGCUGAGUGUAAGAGCUUCCCCCCAUAAAGAACUUCUUUCUUUUUAUUAUCUUACUCUAUCCGGAACCUAGUUCCCCUCUCAAAUUGCAUAUGGUAAUAGAGAGCUAGACAGCUUAGAGAGUUCCUCAAAGGGCUAGUUCUCAAUCUUCCCGGCUUGGAAACUUUCCAUUCGAUCUUCGUCUGCAGUCGGCUAAGGGCGUGAAUGUGUAGUGUAUCUGGAUCUGGGACCAUUCCCUUAUUCUCUUAGUCGUAGUACGCCCGAUCAUUCAGUUGGAGAUGAGACUGCUGACUAAUAAAAAGAUAAUAAGGGGUCCAUCGGUCAUUUCCUUCUGUCGAUCGAGUGAAUGGGGAUUCGGGGUUUCAGCUGCUUUUCUCUGUUCUUAGGUUCGAUCUCUUAUAAGGCCAACGCUGGUCCUCUUAUGAGUCCCAAGGGUUCUUUAAUAGUCGGGUUCUUUUCUUUACUGUCCUGCCUUUAGGAAGGAAUGCAGGAAAGCACUUGACUUGAAGAAAGAGACGUACACAGAAGAGGGUAAAUAGGCAUAAGGAAUGGGGAAGCUAUAUAUGAAGAAGGGCUUUGGGAAAAGCAUUUAACCUGAAGCGGAUUUAGUAUAUAGAUUCC